rnacentral:sRNA from 1 species
GAAAUUUACACAUUCAGAAAUAAAUAACAGAUACUUUUUUUUCCCCUCCACAUAAAACUCCAAAACAGCUUUUGUCCCAGUUUGUUUCUCCAUUUACUGGAUGCAUUUAUGGAAGGCACAUUACAGGUCUUUGUGGGAAGAAACAGAAAGAAAUCACAAAAGCAAUUAAGAGAGCUCAAAUAAUGGGGUUUAUGCCAGUUACAUACAAGGAUCCUGCAUAUCUCAAGGACCCUAAAGUUUGUAACAUCAGAUAUCGGGAAUAAAUUCUAUCACGUUACCACUAAUAAACUUAUUUUACAGU